GAUGAACGCUGACAGAAUGAUUAACACAUGCAAGUCUACUUGAAUUUGGGUUUUUUAACUUAGAUUUGGGUGGCGGACGGGUGAGUAACGCGUAAAGAACUUGCCUCACAGCUAGGGACAACAUUUGGAAACGAAUGCUAAUACCUGAUAUUAUGAUUAUAAGGCAUCUUAGAAUUAUGAAAGCUAUAUGCGCUGUGAGAGAGCUUUGCGUCCCAUUAGCUAGUUGGAGAGGUAACGGCUCACCAAGGCGAUGAUGGGUAGCCGGCCUGAGAGGGUGAACGGCCACAAGGGGACUGAGACACGGCCCUUACUCCUACGGGAGGCAGCAGUGGGGAAUAUUGGACAAUGGACCAAGAGUCUGAUCCAGCAAUUCUGUGUGCACGAUGACGUUUUUCGGAAUGUAAAGUGCUUUCAGUUGGGAAGAAAAAAAUGACGGUACCAACAGAAGAAGUGACGGCUAAAUACGUG
rnacentral:rRNA from 1 species